rnacentral:rRNA from 1 species
CCUACGGGUGGCAGCAGUAGGGAAUCUUUCACAAUGGGCGAAAGCCUGAUGGAGCAACGCCGCGUGCAGGAUGAAGGCCUUCGGGUUGUAAACUGCUUUUAUAAGCGAGAAAUAUGAUGGUAACUUAUGAAUAAGGAUCGGCUAACUACGUGCCAGCAGCCGCGGUCAUACGUAGGAUCCGAGCAUUAUCCGGAGUGACUGGGUGUAAAGAGUUGCGUAGGUGGCAUAAUAAGUAGCUAGUGAAAUCUGGUGGCUCAACCAUUCAGACUAUUAGCUAAACUGUUAAGCUCGAGACCGUUAGAGGUAACUGGAAUUUCUAGUGUAGGAGUGAAAUCCGUAGAUAUGAGAAGGAACACCAAUAGCGUAGGCAGGUUGCUGGGACGGUUCUGACACUAAGGCACGAAAGCGUAGGGAGCAAACGGGAUUAGAUACCCGAGUAGUC